rnacentral:rRNA from 1 species
UACGUAGGGGGCAAGCGUUGUCCGGAAUCAUUGGGCGUAAAGAGCGUGUAGGCGGCCCGAUAAGUCCGCUGUGAAAGUCCAGGGCUCAACCCUGGGAUGCCGGUGGAUACUGUCGGGCUCGAGUCCGGAAGAGGAGUGCGGAAUUCCUGGUGUAGCGGUGAAAUGCGCAGAUAUCAGGAGGAACACCAAUGGCGAAGGCAGCACUCUGGGACGUGACUGACGCUGAGACGCGAAAGCGUGGGGAGCAAACAGG